rnacentral:lncRNA from 1 species
AACAUAUCCUUUUAGAAUGCCUUGUGGUAGAUGCAUUUGGGUGGUGCUAUACUGGAUCAUACCUCUGGUGCACCCCUAUCUGCUGGCCAGGAAUAUUGUUUGUGCUGUGGAUUAUUUCAUUCCAAUAUCACUGUGAGGUCCCUCUAACUUCCUUAGGUCUGGCACUGGUGUGGCAUCCAGCAGUCCCAGCUAUGACACUGGAGAAUGGCUCACCAGAGUCAGGCUGAAAGGAAACAUUUAAAGGGAGGGGGUUGGAGGACCUCCCCCCGGGAGGCUUCUUGACAUGUUCCAACUCCCAGAAUAGUGAUAUGUUGUGACAGGCUGAGAUCAGACAACAGGAAUUACAGACAAUUUUCUUAUUCCCUUACCAUCCUGAAUAAAACUUAGCUCAUG